GAGGGGACAGAAGAGCGGGAAUGGAAUGUCGGAAAAUAAAGCAAAUUAAAUGGAAAGCGGCGUGUAAAUCUGUCGCAUUAGCAAAACAUCAUGUUUCACUGCGAAUGGCACGCACUGUAAAAUAUGUUAAGUAGAAGGAGGCUGUUCUCUGUUUGCUAUUGACACGGCGGAGGAGGCGAGAGAAAGAGGAGAGAGAGGGAGAGAGAGCAGCUUUGGUCGUCUAACGGCAAUGCAGCCAAGUGUGCAUUACAGUGGGACGAAAGCGUGCGGUAAUAGACAGUUUAAUUUAAAGCGAAAACAAAAAUAGCUUUGUGAAACAAAUUAUAAGUCUAGUCGUAAGCAAGACUGAGAGAGAGAGAGA